GAGUCAUCAGAUCUGAUGGUUUUAGAAAGGGAGGUUUCCCUGCACAAACCCUCUUCUCUUGUCUGCUGCCACGGGAGAUGCACCUUUCACCUCCCUGCUGUGACUGUGAGGCUUCCCAGCCAUGUGGAACUGUAAGUCCAUUAAACCUCUUUCUUUUGUAAAUUGCCCAGUGUCAGACAUGUCUUUAUCAGCAGUGUGAAAACAGACUAAUUCAGCUCCUAUGCCCAACCACAUCUCACGCUGCAGUCAGCCAGACAAACAUGCUAAUGAGCGAUGUCUAGAGCAGCUGAAGUUUACUGGUAGUUCUAAAAGGAAGAAGAGAAAGAAAAAGAGGAAGAAAAGUAGGGGGGAAAUGGGAAGAAAAGAAUGCUUAGUGGAGACCAGAAAUUGUAGCCAGGAGAUGACAGUGCAAGCCCCUAGCUGUCGGGCCAACUGUCUGGGCACAGCAGCCUGCCCUGGGCCAAUGAAUACCUCGCUCACCCACAGUGUCACAGGGCAAUCUCUAAAUUGCAAAACCUUCAGAUUGUGCAAGCCUGGAUCCAGCCUUGGGCUAAGUAAGGACAGAGCUGCUCAGAACCAUCAGGCAAUGACAGUUAAGGCACCCCAGCCCUGGGUUCCAGCUGCUGCCACAAAUCAUUGCCGAGGAUGUCACAUGGGCCCUGUUCCGGAGGCUUCUGCUGUCUCCUGAUUCAAGUCAUGCUGUCUAUUCUCAAAAACCAUUUAGCUCUUUGAUGUACUUAAUUUGACAAAAUAAAAUUUAAGAAACCA